rnacentral:lncRNA from 1 species
UUUUCAUGUACUAGCAACAAAACACAAUAGUAUUUGGAAAUAACAAAUACAUAGGAAAAAAAGGUAAAAAAAAAUAUGGAAAUUUUACCCCCAAACUCCAAAUAUAACUGGGAGAAAUUGAAUAAAUUAUAAAUGAAUGAAUAUAUAUAACAUUUCAAUAAGUAAAAACUUUAAAUUGUAGAUAGGAAAAUUUUCCUAAAACUGAUUUAUAGAAUGCAACUGAUUCUAAAUAAAAUUCCAGCACAAAUUUUUUUUCCUGUGGAAAUCUACAAACUAAUUAAAAAUGCAUAGGAAUGCACAGGGUUCAAAAUAGCCAAGACAAUCUCGAAGACAUAGAAAUUAUGUAUUUUUAAAAUUGAAGAGUGGUAAAAUAAAACGCAGCAUAUAAUUUGCCAUCUUAGUCAUUUUAAGCAUACAGUUUCCUAGUGGCUGUAUCUCAUUAUUAUUAAACAGAUCCCCAGAAGUUUUUCCUCUAGCAAAUCUGCAACUCCAUCCUUCUAACUUCUCUCCUUCCCCCCCCCGCCCCCCGGUUCCUGGUAACCACAGCCCUCCUUUCUGUCUCUUAUGACUUUGACUCCUCUCUGUACCUUUCAUAAGUGGAAUCAUGGCAUUUACCUUUGUAUGACUGGCUUCUUUCACUUAGCAAAUGACCUCAAGUUGCAGCAUACGAUAGGAUUUCUUUCCUUUCUAGAGUGUGUGUCCUUGGGGAAAUUUAGAUGCACACACGCCCUUCAUUUCCCACUGCACAUCGGGCUGCUUCUACAUCUUGGCUAUGCUUUGCAGCUGCGAACACAAAUAUGCAAAUACCUUUUCGAGACUGUUUUCAAGUCUCUGUUUCCUCCCAUUCCUCUUACAUUAAAGUCUUUGAUCAACUUUGAUUUAAUUUUGUAUCGUUUGAGGUAUGGGUCCAACUUUCUUCGUUUGUAGCCAGUAGUCCCAGAACCGUAAUAUUGAAGAGACUAUUAUUUAUUCACUGAAUGGCCGGUCGGCAGCCUUGUGGAGAAUCAGUGGACCGUAGAUGUCUGAGGUUGUUUCUGUGUCAUUAAUUCUUGACUUUAUUCCGCUGAUCUAUCUGCCUGUGCUUAUGCAGAUAGUUUAGGUCACUGUCACUUUACAGCACGCUCUCAAAUUGAGACGUACAAGCCCUUCCACCUUAGCCGUCUUCGUUUCAGCAGGUUAGGGCCUCUGGUAAUGCCAUGUGAAUUUUAGGAUCAAUUUAUUCCUUUGUGCAAAAGUAGGGCACAGUGAUUUUAAUGGGACUGCGUGAACUGUGCAGAUCACUUUGGAUAUUAUGGGCUUCUUAGUAAUAUUGGGUCUUCCACUGUGUGAACAUGGCCUGUCUUGGCAUUUAAUCCGACCUUGUUUACAUACUUGGAGCAGUGUGUUGCAGUUUUUAGUGUACAGGCUGGUGAUUAAGAGGUGACCAGCGGGUACAGUUAGAUACAACUCUCUUUUAUUGACAUUUAUCAGUGUGUUUCUUCACGAAGCACUCUUCUGGCUGUUGUAAUGUUUGUUAUUAGAUUCCAAAGUUCUGAAAAAGUUGAUUCCAAUAUUUUUUGCCAUCCUAUCUACUGUUUUUCCGGAGGAACAGUGUUUUUGUGGUUCCUGACUGCCAUUUUUGGUGAUCUCACCUCUAAAAAAAUUCCUCCUAAUAUGAAUUUUCUUCUUGCGAUUUAUUUUCCUUUUCUAUUCCUUCUUUCUUUGAUUGUAUAUUCAAAUCCUAUGUUCAUUUCUAUUGAGCUUUUUGCAGGCGAGUAGUCUAUAAAGAAUCCUUAUCGCUCAAUCAUUUUGGGACUAUGAUUCAGACUUUUGUGUAUAUUUUAAAAUUUUAGUUUGGAGUAAACAUUUGGAAUACAAAGUUGCAACUAUUCAUCGUCUUUCUUCUGUGAUAUUUAUCUACCAUGUUAUAACGCUUAGAAAGUCUUUCACUCUCCCAACGGUAGCAUAUAUCACUUUUUUACUUCUGUGUUUUCAAAUUUUAUAUGGAAACCUCAACUGAAAAUUAAUUUUCGUGUAGCGUAUGGUAUUAAGAUAAUAGUUUUCUUUCAAUUAGUUUCCUGCAAGUCUGAAUCUGUGUUCUAAAAAAAGCCGUUGUCUGUAAACCAUGUAGAAUAUUACCUGUAUUCUGUGCUAACAUUUUAGUUGGAUCUAUUCUGAACAAUUGAUUCCAUUAUAAUAAUGCUUAAGUUCCACACCAUUUAUAUUUUUAUAAUGCAUUUAAACAUCUCUAAUACCUGCCUUAUUUCAAACCUUAAUAUUCUUUAUAAAAGUUGUCUUGGCCUUAUGAAUGGAUUUAUUCUCCCAUAUCCUUUGUCUGCCCAAAGUAUAUAUUUGUUGGCUUCAGUUAGAGACUUUUCAUGGUGACCGAUAUGAAAAUAAUUCACAGAUAAUGAAUAUUUACAAUUGAAGAAAAGGUCAAUUCAUUUUUGUCUGGAAAUUAAGUACCAUUUCAAAUGAUCUUUAACAGGCAAAACCAGGCAAACCUCAGAAAUUCAUAGGCUCCACACAGACCUAGAAAUUGUGGAAAUGAGCCCUGUGACCUGGGAGCCUGGGUCUGUAGGUGGGAGCAUAUGCUUUUCUACCCAACAGGAUUCAAUUGCCUACGUUACGUUAUGUGGAGCUCAGUCUUCUCAAACGCUGCGUGCACAGUGUCUCAGCUGUUAAAGGGAGGCAGUGUGAUUUCAUCAAAGAAUUUUUAUCAAAAAAUGUGCAUAAAAAUGGUUGGUGAAACAAAACAUGCUGUGUCAAUAUAAAGCGAUCCUAGACCUCCACAAAACGGAUACUGUCCUGUCAUAGUUAACCUGUCAUAGGUUAAUGUCCAAAGUAUACAGUUUUCAAGGGUUAUGCGGUGAGGAAGCUCUUCCUUCCCCACUACAGCUUCCAAGGAAGGGAUACAUUCCCUAGACACUGUCAGUACUUAAUAGACUUUUGCAGAAGAGAAAACCCCCAAAGCUGUUUUCCUUUUGGCCUUUCAAAUAUAGUGCUGCUAGUGGCUGUUGGGUUUACCGUUUCUGCUACCAGUAGAAUGGCAAUGACAGGUCACAUCUGUACUUUAACUGAGACUUUUACAAUAGGUAAAGAGUACAUAGGCAACUACUGGAAAUAAACAUGGAGAAAAUGAAAAACGUUUUUGAUAGAGUGUUGGUAUAGCAGGUGGUUCGUAAAAUUAACUUUGAUAUUCUAUUUUUUCUGGCAAGAAACUUCAUGAGAAAUAUAAUAGCUGUAUGUUAGCUCUAAUCAGGCUUUGUAUAACAUUUCAACUGUAUUUUUGAAAAUGAUUUUGGGUCAUAUUUAUACUAAAGUAAGAUAUUCCGUUUUCCUUCUCAAUAAUAACUGCUCAUAUAGGAAGGUCUUUUACCUCCUUUUCAUAUUCAGGAUUAUAUUUUCACUUGCUUGUUUUGGAAAUUUAAGUCAUAACACUAGUUAAGACACAUUGGCAGAUAUCUGGAAGUUUGAGGAUUCAUAUACCCAUAUUUACCAGAAUUAAGAGUUUUUAGUAAAGUCGAGCCUUGAAAUUUUAGUUUCUAUGGAAACAAAUUUUAGUGAUAGCAACCCAAAUGCUUAUUUACUUGAAAAUGUAAAGCUAUACAAGAUGUGCAAUACGCCUUUAUUAUUAAUUUUGCUAUUUUGAAAUUGAUCUAGAAGUUGUCAUUUCUCCCAUCGCUUUUACUUAUUGGUGAAUAACCAUAAAUGAAUAAGAGUCAGAUGAGAAAAGACUUGUGUCUUUGGGUCAAAUGCAAACAUUUUGAUUCUUUUUCCUUGAUCUUUCCUUGGAGUACUUAUGAAUUUUGCAUUAAGGUUUGCAUUAAAAUAAAAAGAGACCGAGAAAUAACCCCAUGCUUUCCAUGGAUUAAGGCACCAUGGAGAAGCACCUACUUCCUGCCAACUAGCAAAAAGGUCAGAAUCCCUAUUGGGAACAGCCAGUAACUGUGCAUACAAUUCCUCAGGCCAGCAUGACCUGCAAAUAGGACUCCCUUACAGAGGCAGCUGAGUCACUCAACAGCUCCCUCAAGUAGGGCCCCGUCUGAAGUGAAUUGCUUUCCUCUCAAACUCAAAGAUCGUCAGUGUUCAUUUGAGAAAACAGAAAACGUCCCACUUAAGGUCACUCUUCUAAUCACCGUGUCUUUUUAAAACUAGAAUUUUCCAAAGAUAAAAAAUUUUGUACCACCCUGCUAUUCACUCGCUCUGGUCAUGUAGGGUUUUGUUUUGUUUUGUUUUUUCUUUCCAUGCAGCAGGAGUUGAUGGAUGUUAGGGUGAUGAGGCCCCGGUGGUUGGCUAUGCCACAUACACACACCCACACUCACAAACACACCUUUAAGAAAUAAUUUAUCCUGGAGUUCCCACUGUGACUCAGUGGGUUAGGAACCUGACUUAGGGUCUGUGAGGACAUAGGUCUCAUUCCUGGCCUCGUGCAGUGGGUUAGGGAUCCGGCAUUGCCGCAAGCUGUGGCAUAGCUUGGAGAUGUGGCUAGGACCUGGUGUUGCUGUGGCUGUGGUAUAAGCUGUAGCUGCAGCUCCAAUUCGACCCCUAGCCCAGGACUUUUAUCCUGGAAAUAUUCUGAAUUUCAUUUGUUAUUCUAUCUCUAUGGAUCUCUAACACUGAUAGUCUUUGCAGAAUCUAGAACUUUCAUCUGAAGAAAAAUGAAGAUUGUUGUGACUAUAGAUCCCACUGGAGCACUACUGGGUGAGAGCGUGCUGGGCAGAGGAGGUGGUGCCCCCUUCACCAUGUCCUACAAGACUGCCCAGUGCACCAAAGGGAGGCUGAGAGAAGGCAAAACUUGUGCCCAGUCACCACUAAUUCGUGGAGAGUUGGGUGUGCCUUCUGUCCGAAUUCUAAAGUUGUGCCCCACCCUUCCCUUCAGUUUUCGGUGUCUGGUUUGCUUUAUUUCUGCAACCAGCGGGAGAGCUCGCUAUCAUCCCUAUUUUUUUUUUUUUUUUUGGUCUUUUUUUGCUAUUUCUUUGGGCCGCUCCCACAGCAUAUGGAGGUUCCCAGGCUAGGGGUCUAAUUGGAGCUGUAGCUGCCAGCCUACACCACAGCCACAGCAACGAGGGAUCCGAGCCGCGUCUACAACCUACACCACAGCUCACGGCAACGCUGGGUCCUUAACCCACUGAGCGAGGCCAGGGACCGAACCUCAUGGUUCCUAGUCGGAUUCGUUAACCACUGCGCCACAACGGGAACUCCCAUCCCUAUUUUUUAAUACUAGUAAACUGAGUCUCAAAGCAUGAUAUAUACUGCCUAAGCUUGCUCCUUUUUAAAACUCUGGAUCUUAGAUCUUCGGUUCCUUGUACUACACCAUGCAUGUAACAGGUUUUUAAAAAUUUAAAAAAAAAUCUGUUCUGUUAAAAGAUAUACUGGGGCCUAUCAAAAUCUUUGAGUUUAUUUGGGCCAAAUUCAAUUUGAGUUGGGCAGCAUCUAGAAAGCAGAUAAGAGAACCCUGAGCUGCUGUACACAAUGCAGGUCUUUUUAAGGCAGAAGAGGGCAGAACCUAGGAAGUUAC